UGAUUUUACUUCAAUAUGUGG
rnacentral:piRNA from 1 species